rnacentral:rRNA from 1 species
UGAACGCUAGCGGCAGGCUUAACACAUGCAAGUCGAGGGGUAACAGGAGUAGCAAUACUUGCUGACGACCGGCGCACGGGUGAGUAACGCGUAUGCAACCUACCUCUAACUGAGGCAUAGCCCGGAGAAAUCCGGAUUAAUACCUCAUAAUAUUUCGAAUUCGCAUGUUUUCGAAAUUAAAGCUCUGGCGGUUAGAGAUGGGCAUGCGUGACAUUAGUUAGUUGGUGAGGUAACGGCUCACCAAGACUGCGAUGUCUAGGGGGUCUGAGAGGAUGGUCCCCCACACUGGUACUGAGACACGGACCAGACUCCUACGGGAGGCAGCAGUGAGGAAUAUUGGGCAAUGGACGCAAGUCUGACCCAGCCAUGCCGCGUGCAGGAUGACUGCCCUAUGGGUUGUAAACUGCUUUUAUUUGGGAAGAAACCCCUGCUCGUGAGCGGGGCUGACGGUACCAAAAGAAUAAGCAUCGGCUAACUCC